CGUGGCUUUCUCACAUAAGGCCAGUUGUGAGCAGACCUCUCUGCUCUCCUGGAUAUAAAGGGUUUUUCUGGUUCUGUUUGACUGCAGGAUGCACAGUGUGUGCUGUGCUGGGAAACUGCACGUCACGGAGCUGCACAGGAGGAGGAUGCUCACAGCAGACCAUGCUGGAGCAAGGGGCUGCUGAAGGAUAUGCUGCUGAAGAUGCAGAUAAUUUGGGAUGGAGAUGCCUUCCUAGAGCUGUUUCACUCUUGCUGCAAAGAGAGUUGAUUAGCAUCAAGGAAAAGUGAGCUUCAGGAUUGCCACAGCAGUUGUAGGAAAGUGAUGUGUACUCUCAGCUGAAAUAUCUCCCUGACCUCUCAAACCAGUGCUGCAGGGUGAGAGAAAGGAGGUGUAUUGGUUGCCAUAGUAAUAAACCAACCUGCAAAAACCAGGCAUGUUCCCUUCCUUGUGAAAUCCAUUUCAUCUCCAGGCAUCUCAGAGCAAGGACUCAUGACAAAAGAGACAUGGAGGUGCUGGAGCAGGUCCAGAGAAGGGCAACGGAGCUGGUGCAGGGUCUGGAGCACAAGUGUGAUGGGGAAUGGCUGAGGGACCUGGGGGGGUUCAGUCUGGAGAAGAGAAGGCUCAGGGGGGACCUCAUCGCUCUCUACAACUGCCUGAAAGGAGGAUGGAGCCAGGAGGGGGCUGGGCUCUGCUCCCAAGGAACAAGGGAUGGGACAAGAGGAAACAGCCUCAAGCUGCACCAGGGGAGGUUUAGGCUGGAUAUUGGGAACAAUUUCUUCCCCAAAGGGCAGUCAGGCAUUGGAACAGGCUGCCCAGGGCAGUGCUGGAAUCACCAUCCCUGGAAGUGUUCACAAACCGUGUAGAGGAGGCCCUCAGUGCCAUGGGUUAGUGGUGGCCUUGGCAGUGCUGGGAAUGGCUGGACCUGAUGGUAUUGAAGGGCUUUUCCAACCUGGUUGAUUCUGUGACUAGGAAUUGGACAAUGAUAAAGGGAAAAUAACUUGAGGGCAAGCCAAGGAAGAGUAGAGGAACAAGGCAAGCAUGGUGGACAAUGAGAGAUCCACUGGAGCAGGUAAUGCUGAGGAGAAGCCAAAGAAGCGGCUGAUUUGUGACCACCACGUCCCUUAAGAAGUGCAGAGCUGACACCAGUUCCAGGAAGGAGCACAUGUCAUUUUAGAGAUCUUUUUAACAAUCUUGUAAGAUCUAUUACAAAUCUUAUUAAAAA